rnacentral:rRNA from 1 species
UACGUAGGGGGCAAGCGUUGUCCGGAAUCAUUGGGCGUAAAGAGCGUGUAGGCGGCCCGGUAAGUCCGCUGUGAAAGUCCAGGGCUCAACCCUGGGAUGCCGGUGGAUACUGUCGGGCUCGAGUCCGGAAGAGGAGUGUGGAAUUCCCGGUGUAGCGGUGAAAUGCGCAGAUAUCAGGAGGAACACCGGUGGCGAAGGCGGGUCUCUGGGCAACAACUGACGCUGAGGAGCGAAAGCGUGGGGAGCGAACAGG